GCCGCGCGGCGGCUGAGACACGGCCCAGACUCCUACGGGAGGCAGCAGUGGGGAAUUUUGGACAAUGGGCGCAAGCCUGAUCCAGCAAUGCCGCGUGUAUGAAGAAGGCCUUCGGGUUGUAAAGUACUUUUGUUAGGGAAGAAAAGCUUUUGGCUAAUAUCCAAGAGUGAUGACGGUACCUGAAGAAUAAGCACCGGCUA
rnacentral:rRNA from 1 species